rnacentral:sRNA from 1 species
UUAGAAGCAAUAAGAAGCUUGGUUAGUGUUUUGGAGUCAAAAUGACUAGAUGUCAUGUGUAUGAUUGAGCAUAAGAACUUGAACGGCAACCGAUUCCCAAUAGCUAAAGUUAUGUUUCCUUGUUAGAAGAUACAAAGCCAAAGACUCAUACGGUCUUCGGAUACACCAUCGAAAUUUUGAGAAGCAAUAAGAAGCUUGGUUAGUAUUUUGAAGUCAAAUAUUACAUG